rnacentral:rRNA from 1 species
GACAGAGGGUGCGAACGUUGUUCGGAAUUACUGGGCGCAAAGCGCGUGUAGGCUGUUCGGCAAGUCGGGUGUGAAAGCCCUGGGCUCAACCUAGGAAGUGCACUCGAAACUCCCGAACUGGAGUCCCGGAGAGGAAGGCGGAAUUCUCGGUGUAGAGGUGAAAUUCGUAGAUAUCGAGAGGAACAUCGGUGGCGAAGGCGGCCUUCUGGACGGUGACUGACGCUGAGACGCGAAAGCGUGGGGAGCAAACAGG